GAUGUACUUAAGGUGUGUUUCUCACCAUCUUGGCUGUUUUGUUGUUUCAAACAUCUCAAUUUAGUUUGGUCACUCGAGAACUGUAGUGUUGUUAAGUAGUUGCUGGAAGGAACAAAAACACAAUAGUUAAGACUUGACCCAUAAAAACAAACGGUUUCUCGUGAGCCUAUUCAUGAAAUCGACAUAUGUAAGGGGCAUGUUAAGCUGUUAGGGUCAACCUUACAAGUAGAAACACGAUGAAUGGAUAUCUGGUGAUGGUACAUCAGAAUCACCAAACUCAACAGAAUAUAAGCAUGUGGUACUAAAAAGUACUGCUAGAAAUUUUCAAUGUUUAGAUGGUGUGAUGUUCCAUGUUCGUCACUGUUGGGAAUACUUUGAUAGGACUAAAUGAAUAAUAGAACCCUUUGUGUUUUAUAUGAUUUAUUAUUGAGGGCCUGUUUGGAAGAGAGGGUUUGGGCUAGGAGUUGGUUUAAUUUGUACAUUAGGACAAAGAUGAUUCAGUGAUGAAACCAUAGUGCUAAUUCAAUGUAUAUAUCCUACUCAAUGUGCACAUCAACAUUCUUAUGAGCAAUUUAAUAUGUCCAUCUCAUUCGCCGUUAUUUUCGCUGAAGAUUAUUUGAAAUUAUCAGGCAGUGGCCCUCUUCAAGUCCUACUUUGGUUGAACUUUUAAUGAAGAUGCUAUUAGGAAUAACUUGGUGUUUAUAUACCAACUUCUUGAUGUUAAGGGCACAUACAGUUUUGGACUUUGCUUGGUGCUUCAGUUUCCACCAUGGAUUGAUUUCUUCUGUGAUACCGACUCUGCAACUGUGCAAAGAUUAUGGACAUCAGUUAUCCUCAGAAUCUCUCACCUGAAAUUCUGAAGUUAUAUAUAACCCAGGAAGGCGUACCGUCGCCAUUUUCCUCCAAGAUUUGAAAUAGAAAAUAAUCUGUCAAAACUGAAAGAAAUUGGAGUACUAAAGGUCUGCUUGUACUAUCAUUUUUUUGUUUGAAUUGUGCACCAAAAGAAAUUGUUGCCAAUCAGUUAGUAGCAUAAUUAUUGACAGGGAGUAUUUAGGAUAAUCGAUGAUUUUUAUGUAGAUGCAAAAAAAUCUGUUAGAAGUUGUUCCUUUUUUUUCUGUGUGCAACUUUUGUAUAUGGGGGUUCAUGAAUAUCAUUUGUACUGUCCAGAUUGUAGCUUGUACUGCCAUUUCUAAAAAACAGUACACCAAAAGAUCAGUUCCAGCUCCAUACUGAACUAGCGGGGUUGUAAGUGGACGCAGUGCAUUACAAUACGAUAUCCCUGUCUCAUACAUAACAAGUCGGAACUCUUCUAUUGCAAGUAUCUGUCAAGAUGGGAUAUUCAGAUCGCUCUGUGUAGUGGGCGCCUCAUCAUUUAUAGGAAAGUUAUUAAUUCUAGGAAGCGAUUGCAUGCUCAUGUAGGACUUGAUGAAGGAGAGUUCAAGUGAUGGAAGAUAUUGUUUCAAUAAUAUUGAAGCUUUUUAGAUACUAUGGCAGUUGAGGUUCAUUUGAAGUCGCGGAUGGAUGUAUGAUUUAUGCACAAAUGUAUAAGCGCCAUGUAGUGGUUAAUUAGAGGUGUUCUUCGGCUAAAAUUAGGCUGCUCCUGCCAUGUCUACCAGUGAAAUGCCUCCUUCCAUGAUAAAGCAGCCUACUCUUAGGUACAGAUCUUGGUGUUGAUUCUGCCUCACCUUUCCAGUCGGUAGUGGUUUGGUUUGCUGCAGGUUUCCUCGGUUUUCAGGAAUUGGGCAAAGCUUGAGGAUGAUGUAGACCGCUGCGCCACCUCUCUUGUCAUCCUGGUCGCUGCCUAGCCACUUUCUUCGAUUCAGAGGCUUGUGCCACUACAGUGGCCUUGACUAAUGGGAUCCUUUUAACGCCGCCGCUGGAGGGCCUUCCGCCUGAGCCAGGAUCUCUUCUACCCUGCACCGCUGUUGAACUCAUCCAUGCUGACAGCCGGCUCCAUGCUACACUGCUGCAGGCUGCAGUAGACAUGUACAGGACAAGGCAAGAAAUCAGAAAUGGUUAGAGCGGUAUGCCUUGAAGAGAGCCAAGAGGAAGAGAGGCGAGUGUACAUGCCUGAAGACGUCAAGAUACCACUUCCACGACGAUGUCAACAUCGUCGUGGUCUAUCUUCACCGGCACCGGCACCGGGGGCGCCGUCACAACAGGGUUAUGGAGCAGUAGCUGCAAACAUAGAACCCCAUAUUAUGAUGGGUAACUGACUUUACUUAUAAGACAACAUGAACUGACAACAACAAUUAUACCAUAUCUGGUAUUUUCAUAUUCUUUGUCAUGUGUAGAAUACAUGGUCUGAUAGAGUCAGUGUUUGUAUGAACUUUUG